CAAAAGGACAGAUAUGUAGAUUUUCGACCUUUCCUACCUCUUAUAAAAGCUGAAUUAUUCAUGUCUUAUUACGCUGAUUCUAUAAGUCGGUGUUUUCGCUAUGACCGUGGCUGCAUAAAAAUACAUUCUUAAAUUACGUCAUUAGGAAAACUUGUGGUCAUUUCUUAAAUAAUCCAGACCAGUAACACUCGGCUGAGUGAAGGAGCGCAUUCAAAGGAACCUUAUCAACAUAUUCAAGCUGAAAAAAUAGAAUUACACAAACCUUACAGCAGCUUUGACAUCAAAAGACAAUUUAGGCAAGAAUUUGAGACAUGUAGUAGCAGAAUGAACAUUUUCUUGGAGUUUAAUUCGUCUGUGUGCUUUUAAAGAGCUCCUUUUCUUUGCUAGGACACUCGUUUGUUAUUCAAUUCGUGGCUAAGAAAAUUCGUUAAGGCGUCGAAAAUAUUUAAUUAUUGGGGUAAAAAUGGCUGAUGUGUCGCCAAGAGAAGCCGAGGAAGAGACUGUCGUUGUCGAAAAUGUGAAUCACUCUUCAAAUUCUGACGAUGCUGGUGACGGUGGAGUGAAAGUACUAGAGAAAGAGGGUAUAGAAGAGACAGUUUCUGCAGAUUUAGAACGUACAGAAGAAGAACAGAGCUCGUCACGAAGUGAGCAUAAUAACAAUGUUGCAUGCAGCUCGACUGAGGAAGACGCUGGAACCAAACCCAUUUGCAAAGAAGAUGCUGUCGAAUCUUCUCCUGAAAACAAAAGUUCUAAUGAAGAAUCGAACUUAGUUAAACAAGAACAAAAUAUAACUUCUGAAGGAAUUUCCGAUGUUGGUUCUCUGGCUAUAAAGGAUGAAAAUACAAAUAGAGAAGAAGAGUCUUCAAUUAUUGAGGAUAUUCGACCAAAUAGUGAAGAAAAUGAAUUAUCAGUAGAUGAAACGCAAGUGGGACAAAAAGAGAGCCCUUCAACGUCAACUGAACCAGAAAAAAUACAGUCUCUGUACCAUAUAAAGUGGAUGAAAUGGAAGGGUCUUAAUACUCCAAUUAUUACUCAAAACGAAAAUGGCCCAUGUCCAUUGAUAGCUAUAAUGAAUGCUUUAGUCCUGCAAAGAAAGAUCAGCAUUCCAUCUAUGCAGGAAAUCAUUAGUGCCAAUCAAUUGAUGGAGUAUCUUGGUGAUUGUAUCUUCAUACAAGCACCUGAGACACUACCAGAAGGAGCUCAGUUGAAUUAUGAGCAGAAUAUGCAUGAUGCCAUUGGAAUUAUGUCCAAGCUACAGACAGGACUAGAUGUAAAUGUCAAGUUUACAGGGGUGACAGACUUUGAAUUCACUCCAGAGUGUGUUGUAUUUGACUUGCUGAACAUCAAACUCAUGCAUGGCUGGUUAGUAGAUCCUCAAAAUGUAGAAGCUGUCAAAGCUAUCAACAGCCUCAGCUAUAAUCAGCUGGUAGAGAAGAUCAUUGCCAGUAAACAGGAUGGAGCAGACAGUGAGUUAGUCUCUGAAGGAAUUGCUGCUGAGACAUUUCUUAAUCACACUGCUACUCAGCUUACCUAUCAUGGGUUAUGUGAGCUUAAUGCUCAAGUAGGUGAUGAGGAGCUAUGUGUAUUCUUCAGGAACAACCACUUUAACACUCUCUUUAAACAUAAGGAUGAGUUGUUUCUUCUAGUAACUGAUCAGGGCUUCCUAACUGAAGAUAAAGUCAUGUGGGAGUCACUUUCCAAUGUUGAGGGAGAUGGUUAUUUUGUGGAUGCAAAUUUCAAAACCCUAUCCACUUCGCAGCCAGUAGUGCCUGCAGCAGCCCCUAACAUAGCCGAACAACCUCCACCCACAGCUGGUAUUACUCAGGAAGACCAAGAUUAUCUUGUUGCUCUAACCCUUCAAGAAGAACAAUCCAGAGAUGAAGCAAGGCAAAGUUCUACACCUCCUGUUCAACAGCCACCACACCCUACUGGGAUGACAACGCAAGAAUGGUCUGAUAUGCAAUUGGCAAUGCAGCUACAAGAAGAAGAGCAGCGACGACAACAACAACAACAACAACAACAACAUCAGGCAAGACCAGUGGGUAAUGUUACCAGGGGACAAGUAGGUGCUGCAGCUCCAAGGCCAAAUGUAAAUGCUGCCUCACAACCACAGGGUACAGCUCAGCAAAGUAGCAAUGAAAAAAUAUGUAGAAUUUUAUAGAAAGUGAAUGAAAAAAAGAAAGGUUUUCAAAUAUUUAUGGAAAGGUUAAAGUAUGCCCUGAAAGGAGAUUUUCAUCUACAGUAUGAAAGGUUUUGAAGAAUGAUUAAUAGCAGUUAAAUGCCUUUUGCAGAAAUAAAAGGUAACAUAAUUUAAAAUUUAUAUUGCAGCCAUAGCAGGCACAAAAAUGUGGAACAUAAAAAUGGAACACUGUUGAAUAUUGGGUUUAAUGGCCUUUAGACCCCUUGCAUCUGAUGUCAAAGAAGCUCUUUGGAGGACAGAACAAAACAAUUUCAAUCUCAUGAGAAUUGGAAAUCUAUUAUUAUGUCCUCCAAUUGAGCUGUACUCUGUAAGGGUCUAUGGAGGAAAAAAGCUACACUUCAGUCUGUAUCUCAUAAGGACUAAUCAAGAGAUGUUCCAAGUGGCCAGGUCCACUCUUUUCAUUAUCAUAAUCAUGAUUAUUUUAUAGCUGUUAUUUUUGCAAUACAUUGUCACGUCAUGGUAAUCCUGACCAGUUCCAAUCUAGAUCAUCUGCCACUUAGCCCUACAGAAGGGAAGAAAAACAACCUCAGAUGAUCCAGGGUAGAUGUGUGGAUAUCACUGAUAGGCAUUUAAUAAUGGUAAAUAUGAUAAUGAAAUCCAAUUAUUGAAGAUUUGAGUGGAGUGUAAUUUACAAAAUAAUAUUGUGCGACCACAAAACAGGAGUAUAAUCUGUUAAUCACAAGGUUAAAUUCAGAAGUUAUAGUCUUGUAAAUUAUAGAAAAUUAAUAAGACUCACUAUAAAGACAUACGUCCCAGAAAAUCCUCUGAACUUUAUUUGAAAAAAAUUAUACUAGUAUUAAUAGUGAUACAGUAAUUAACAGCAAAGCAUGAUAGACUUUUAUUUUCAGAAUAAUUGAUGCUAUAUUAGAGUGAAGUCAUUAAACCCAUGAAAUAGAUAUUAGACUAAUACACAUUAGUAGACCCUAAUUCUAUUGUUUUCUUUUGUAUCUAUUUGCCUAUUACAUGUUGACUAGUAGAGUCACAGGGAACCCGGCUAUAUAUUUUUUGCUUCUUUUAGAAAAUUAACUUUGCUCUUUGUGGGUUUCCUGUGUUGUAAUCAGUUUCCUUUUACAUAAGCUGUAAUCAGAUCUGCGCGCUGUAAUCAGAUCGGCGCUGUAAACUGAUAGCCAAUUAAAUUCAAAUCAAUAACCGUUGGUAACGCACUCUCUAGUAAACACUCAAAAGAAGAGAAGGGCUGCAACAAAGCAAGUUUUAUCGUAUGAUCAUCACCUCCAGUUGCUCGGACCAGCUACUUUAGUACAACCAGCAGGAAGUCUUGAUGAUUUUCAUGUUUCGACUGCGUCAUGUUGUUCGAAAAUGUUCAAAAUGUAAAACCCUGUAAACAAGGGAAUUCAAAUUUUGUGUUUUGUUGAGUAACUAUUUAUUACGUUUGAGAGUAAUCUAAUCAUGUCGAAGAAUCGCCUGACCCCAGUAAAGAAGAUGUCAAUUGAUAGAAUUGAAUUGUGUGGAGCAGUUCUAAACAAGCGUCUAAAGGUCUUCAUAGAGAAAGAAUCAAGAUACAACUUUGUGAAAUUCUACCAUCUUGUGGAUUCGCAAAUUGUGCAAGCUAUGGUCCAGAAAGAAUCAUACGGAUUCAAUACGUUCGCUGGCACGCGCAUAGAUGAAAUUCAGGAAAAGACAAAUCCCUCUGAUUGGUAUUGGAUUGACGGAGAACUGAACAUCGCAGACUGGUUAACACGUGGCAAGAAACCUGAUGAACUAGAUGUUGACAGUGCCUGGCAAAAGGGACCAGAAUUCUUGGAGUUACCAGUAAGUGAAUGGCCAAUAACCCAGAAACCCACAAGCAUAAUUCUYCCAGAGACAGUUCAACCUGUUAUGAUGGCACAAAACAUCCAAUCAGAUACGUUAGAAGUAAGAAUCAACAUCGAGCGAUUCUCAUCCUACAUCAGAUUGCCGAGAGUGACAGCAAGAGUACUGGCUAUGUAUCAAAAGGACGCAAGUCCAAAAAGCAAACCUAGUUUCAAGAAUGCCACAAAACCUCUAUCUUCUGAAGAGAUCGAGAAAGCUGAACUGUUUUGGAUAAGAAACGCACAAGUACAACUGAAACAGAACAUGAACAACAAGAGCUCAAAACGCCUUUGUCCUACAACCAACUCGUAUAUAACUUGCGAAGAGAAUUAGUUCUGAAACCGUAGCUUGUAACAUUUCGUCAAUAAACGAAACAGUUUAUUUCCAAUUUUUUUAGAAUAAUAAUAUCAGAUUUGCGGCACACGCUUAGAAUUCGCGAGAAAUAUUGAACGAUACCGGAAAUGUCCAGAAAUUAUAUGGAAAUUUAGAUCUCUCUGUCAACAAGCUGUCAAAUUCUUUUGUUUCAAAUCGGACGUACACCAGAUACAUCCUGUUUCAUAAGCUAAGCGGUCCGAGCAACUGGAGGUGAACAUAUAACUAAAACUUAGCUUUUAAAUAUCACUUUUUAGGAUCGUUACUUUUACGAGUUCAACAAAAUAAAACAUCCCGACCCAAAGUUAA